rnacentral:rRNA from 1 species
GGGGAUCGAAAGACCUUAUGCUUUUGGAGCGGCCGAUGUCUGAUUAGCUAGUUGGUAAGGUAAUGGCUUACCAAGGCGACGAUCAGUAGUUGGUCUGAGAGGACGACCAGCCACACUGGGACUGAGACACGGCCCAGACUCCUACGGGAGGCAGCAGUGGGGAAUUUUGGACAAUGGGCGCAAGCCUGAUCCAGCAAUGCCGCGUGAGUGAAGAAGGCCUUCGGGUUGUAAAGCUCUUUCAGUUGAAAAGAAAAAGCCGUGACUAAUAAUCAUGGUUCAUGACGGUAUCAACAGAAGAAGCACCGGCUAACUACGUGCCAGCAGCCGCGGUAAUACGUAGGGUGCAAGCGUUAAUCGGAAUUACUGGGCGUAAAGGGUGCGCAGGCGGUUCUGUAAGUCAGAUGUGAAAUCCCCGGGCUUAACCUGGGAACUGCGUUUGAAA